rnacentral:lncRNA from 12 species
GACAAGGGGAGGGGAAAAGUAACUAUUUUGAAAUAUGCCAGUGCAUUCUGUUCUUUUUAACAAGGUCUGCUCUCAUGAGAAACUAUUUUUAUCAGAAACUAUUUUAUCUUUGAUGGAGCUAGCCUGGAUUACACCGAGCAUAGAGGAUGGCUCUUCUGGAGGGUACCUGAUUAGUGAUUUUCAUGGUUAAUAUUUUACUUCAGCAUAGCUUAGCAUUACCCUGGCCUAUACAUGUGCCAUUUCUAAUUGUUUGUAUACAACAGUCCAGAGUUUUGUUUUUGGAAAGCCUGUGAAACUAAAAACAAGCUCAAAGGAAAGAGUACAUGAUCAGUCUGGUGUCUACAUUGAACAAGAGGGAAGAGUGUCCUCCAUGUAUCUGCCGACUGUGAGAUCCUGGCCUAGUGCUAUCCUAUAUAACUUCUGGAUCUAUGAACCUGUGAGUCUGCAUGCUUGUUUUCCUGGGCAUAGACAUAGCUCAGAAGAAGACCAUGGAUAUGGACCAUGGAGAUGUGCAAUAAAGAACUUCUUUCUGCAAAGAUUAUGCUUCUCUUCACACUGUGUUGGGGCAAAUCUCAGCUGCACAGAUUCACAGGAAAUGGUUCUGACCCUAGAUCCUGGAGUAGAGUUUCAUGGAGGCUGAAAUGUUCUGGAAGAUGAGGGACAGAGAAACUCAGCUCAGUUCUGUUAUUUUGAAAAGGUAAGGAAAGAGCUGACUUUCCUAAUUUUUCCCGUUUCUUUCUUUUUAAAGAUAAGAUUGCUGCUAAGUUCUUACAUAGAAUUAGGGCAUAGAUGAAAUACCUCACAAUCCGUGGGAAGUUAGGACAUUCAACCAGU